GGCUCCAUAGUGUAGUGGUUAGCACAUCUGCUUUACAUGCAGAAGGUCCUGGGUUUGCACCCCAGGUGGAGCCA
rnacentral:tRNA from 1 species